UACAGAGGUCUCAAGCGUUGUUCGGAUUCAUUGGGCGUAAAGGGUGCGUAGGCGGCGCGGUAAGUCGGGUGUGAAAUCUUGGAGCUUAACUCCGAAACUGCAUUCGAUACUGCCGUGCUUGAGGACUGGAGAGGAGACUGGAAUUCCUGGUGUAGCGGUGAAAUGCGCAGAUAUCAGGAGGAACACCGAUGGCGAAGGCAGGUCUCUGGGCCGAUACUGACGCUGAGGAGCGAAAGCGUGGGGAGCGAACAGG
rnacentral:rRNA from 1 species